AACAAUGGUCUGGCAAAAAAUCAUUCAGGAUUUUUGGAUGUGUCUUGCAGCCACAAAGUUUUCAGUAGGUCAAAAGAUUUGUUUUAAGUCACCACUGCUAGGAAUUUAGGCAAAGCCAUAUUAUGUUGUACCACAAUGGUCUAGAAGCAUGGAGGCAGCUAUGGUGGAAUUCAUCUUGCACGAAUUUAAGAGUUGACAAAGGUAAAACUGAACUAGUAGACACAUUCAUAAGUGGAAGAAGUAGAUGCAUAAGUGGAAGAUGGUGUGAGAAACUUAUCCUCCUAUUAGAUGAGAUUUGUAAGAGUAUGGUUUCUUCAGUGGAUGAAGUUUUAAAGCAAAAGUUUUAAGUAUCAUUUCGAAAAUUAUAAAAUAACCUCCUUUGGUUUAGAGUACUAAAAGUAAUGAAGUCCAAUGGACAGAAUAAUGUCUUAUCAUUAUCCAGACAGUGUAAAGGAACACUUUUUGUUAUUGAAUCUGCCACUUUUCUUUCAUAAGGAUGAAUAAAAAAUGGCACAUAUUAUAGCCUGGAUAAAUA
rnacentral:lncRNA from 1 species